rnacentral:misc_RNA from 1 species
GAUGAAGAACGUAGCGAAAUGCGAUAAGUAAUGUGAAUUGCAGAAUUCAGUGAAUCAUCGAGUUUUUGAACGCAUAUUGCGCCCUCUGGUAUUCCGGGGGGCAUGCCUGCUCGAGCGUCAUUAAAUAACCCUCAAGCAUAGCUUGGUGUUGGGCUUUUUUACGUCCUUGACUGGGAUGGGCCUAAAAAUUAGUGGCGAUGGCUUUUUUACUUUCAAGCGUAGUAAAUCUCGUCUUGCUAAAGAGGAAAAAGAUUUUUUUUCUGCCAAAAAUUUUAACAUUUAAAGUUGACCUCGGAUCAGGUAGGAUUACCCGCUGAACUUAAGCAUAUCAAUAAGCGGAGGA